rnacentral:rRNA from 1 species
GGAAUGAUAGAAAUUUAAACCCUUUUUAAGUAUCAAUUGGAGGGCAAGUCUGGUGCCAGCAGCCGCGGUAAUUCCAGCUCCAAUAGCGUAUAUUAAAAUUGUUGCAGUUAAAAAGCUCGUAGUUGAAGUUCUGCUAAAAGUAACCGGUCUGCUUUUAAUAAAGGUGGUAUCUUGGUGUGUAUUUAGCAAUGAUGUCCUUUGAAGUGUUUUUUACUUUAUUGUAAUAAAGCAUAUUCAGGACUUUUACUUUGAGAAAAUUAGAGUGUUUCUAGCAGGCUAACGCUUUGAAUACUGCAGCAUGGAAUAAUAAGAUAGGAUUUUAGUUCUACAUUAUUGGUUUUAAGAGCUAAAUUAAUGAUUGAUAGGGACAGUUGGGGGCAUUUGUAUUUAACUGUCAGAGGUGAAAUUCUUAGAUUUGUUAAAGACAAACUACUGCGAAAGCAUUUGCCAAAGAUGUUUUCAUUAAUCAAGAACGAAAGUUAGGGGAUCGAAGAA